rnacentral:rRNA from 1 species
UGAGGAAUAUUGGACAAUGGGCGCAAGCCUGAUCCAGCCAUGCCGCGUGCAGGAUGAAGGCCUUCGGGUUGUAAACUGCUUUUGUACGGAACGAAAAGACUCCUUCUAAUAAAGGGGGUCCAUGACGGUACCGUAAGAAUAAGCACCGGCUAACUACGUGCCAGCAGCCGCGGUAAUACGUAGGGUGCGAGCGUUAAUCGGAAUUACUGGGCGUAAAGCGUGCGCAGGCGGUUAUAUAAGACAGAUGUGAAAUCCCCGGGCUCAACCUGGGAACUGCAUUUGUGACUGUAUAGCUAGAGUACGGCAGAGGGGGAUGGAAUUCCGCGUGUAGCAGUGAAAUGCGUAGAUAUGCGGAGGAACAUCGAUGGCGAAGGCAAUCCCCUGGGCCUGUACUGACGCUCAUGCACGAAAGCGUGGGGAGCAAACA